GGACGGUUAGCUCAGUUGGGAGAGCACCUGCCUUACAAGCAGGGGGUCGCAGGUUCGAGCCCUGCACCGUCCA
rnacentral:tRNA from 2 species